UUAUAUUUAUACUUGCUUAUUGCACUCUACAUUUUAAAUAGGUAAUUUAAAAUGUAAAGUGCAACAAGCAAGUUUAAAUAAGUACCGGAUUAUUUUCGUUUAUUUGCCGGACAUUUACUUGUACGACUUAUAAAAUCAAUUUAAUAUCUGAAACUCUUGUAUUGAGAUCACAAAUUAAAUUGAACAGUAUAUUUUUAAUCUUAUUUGUUACUCUUUGCAAACUUUAUAUAAUUCUUAUAACUAAAACUUAAAUACGAGAAAGAUAGCGCAUCGCACGUCGCAUAGCGGUAAACGAACGAACUAACACAUCCUUGCGUGCUCGCGCGAAACUUUGAUGUCCAAGAUCGGACAUUUUGUGGACGUCCAAAUAUUGGCCGUUAACGGAUGUCCCGAAUCGGAUGUACGAUGAACAGUCAUUUCAUGUCCAUGGACGUACGGACGUAAAAUGGACAUAAAAUGAAUGUCCAUAGGAUGUCCUGUGCUGUCUGGGAUUGGGAUGAAAAUUUUAAUUUAUUGGAACAUAUUAUACAUGAUGAAAUGAGAUGUAUGGAAGGAAGAAUAAAUCGAAUUAUAAAUGAUAUCGAGAAAACUAUCGCGUAUGAUAAAUAUGCAAUAGCAAGAUAUAUUCGUAUUUUUUUCAUGAAAUUAAAUGAAGACGAAUUGCGAUCUUUAAUUAAUCCAUGCAGAUCAUAUCAAUCAGAAUCAGAGCCUGCUAGCCAAUGGAAUUGCGUGAUUGCCUGACCAUUCAAGGAAGAAGUCGACGAUAUUAGUGACGCAACGUAUCAUGGCAAGACAGUCGGCCUCGGCUGAAUGUUCCUGAGGGACAUUUGAACCAAACAUAUAUUUGUAAAUGGUGCUGAGUUUCAGGUUGACUGGUCUCUCUUCGCACC